rnacentral:rRNA from 1 species
GCGCCUACGGGGGGCAGCAGUAGGGAAUCUUCCACAAUGGGCGAAAGCCUGAUGGAGCAACGCCGCGUGGGUGAAGAAGGGCUUCGGAUCGUAAAACCCUGUUGGUAGAGAAGAAAGAGCGUGAGAGUAACUGUUCAUGUUUCGACGGUAUUUAACUAGAAAGCCACGGCUAACUACGUGCCAGCAGCCGCGGUAAUACGUAGGUGGCAAGCGUUAUCCGGAUUUAUUGGGCGUAAAGGGAACGCAGGCGGUCUUUUAAGUCUGAUGUGAAAGCCUUCGGCUUAACCGGGGUAGUGCAUUGGAAA